AGUACAGGCUUCAAAUUGCUCCUCCGUUCCUAGUGGCUCCCUUCCCUGGCCCCAACCACCUUCAGCUUCCUUUGGGGACGCACCCCCUCCUGCGAGGAGAAAAUCCCUCUCAAUAACGUAAGUCUCCCUCUUCGUGGCACCCGCAGCUUGGAACCUGCUGGAAGAGUGCGGUGAAAACGAGCAGAAACCUGCCCGCAGCUCAAAUUCGCGCUUCAGCACCAUCAGCCCUGGCCGAGCAUGUGCAGUGCCUCCUCCUUCAGCAGUGGGGGCUGACUGGCAGUUGCCCAAAUGCUCAUUAAUCACAAGAAGCUCUGGGCCCCGGGCGCCCCUGGGUCUUGCGCAGAGAGUGUCGGUGGCGGAGAUAUCGGGGCCGGGAUCCUCAAGGGCCUCUGCGCUCGCAGCCAACAUCCUGCGCUCGGUAGAGAAGGGAUCGAUGGUGUUCUGGAUGCGGGUUUCCAGGGAAGAUGCUCUUCGCGGUCCCGCGCCUCCUCGGGAAGAUCGUUGAGAGCGGAGCGCGGGCGCUGGGCACGCCGGCCCCGGAACCGCGGGAGCCCGCGCCGCGCGGGUCUGCACAGCCGAGCCGCCUCCCAGCCCGCUCUCCCCAGUUUGCUUUCCUGCCGCAGUCCGGGCCCGGAUUAAUUCUCUCCACUUGGGGAUGCCUGCUCGGCCGACUGCCGCCCCGGCCCGGAGCCCUGGGCUCACUUCGCAGCCUGCUGCCGAGUUUCACACCGCAGUCCUGCUCAGCAUCCGCCGAGCUUCGCCCCCUUGCCCAAGUCUGCAGAUGGAUGGAUGCGGGGCGCAGGCUUCCCCUGGGCGGGUUAACGCUGGCUCCCGCUAAAGCCCCAAACUCCCACCUCGCGCCUCCCGUUUAUCUGCCCGCCCCCACCACCACUACCGAAGGACGUGCCCCUCUGGUCGUGUCGGGGCUCCCAGCCCAAAAGAGGGGGAGGACACCUCCCUAUCCCCUCCUCCCCAUCCCCGCCGCGGCUCGGGGUUUUACUGCAGCAGCCGGAGGUGACAGCGACGCCUUCGCCUCCUCGGUUGCUCUCAGAGCCCCGGCUUCCCCUGCAUCCGGAAAGCGCCCCCUCCUGAGAGGCUGGUCCCCGGAGAAGUGCUAACGAGCUGCAGAAAACCAAAUUUAAAAAAUGUAGAAGUCGCUGGGCUGCAUUCCUCCGAGGACGAGCCUGAUCGCCCAGGACAGAGAGUGGCAGCGUGUGGGAAGUUGGGACCGUAGAGCAAAGGGGGGAGGGGAGUGGUGCAGCCGGCAUUCUCCUCUGGAAGCAAUCGCUGGGAGCAGUGCGGUUGGACACAAGUUUGCGCGGGAGUGUUUUCCUUUUGUCAAUAAUUAAUCACCGGAAUCGGUCUGGCAGAAUUGGAGUUUUAGCAAUAGUGCAGAGGGCGGGGCCGAACACCUAACUCCAGGAGGCUCUGAGGCGCCCGGCGCAGUGGGAAGCUCGCAGCAGCUGGGGAGGAGCCAAAGCCUGGGUGCUCACCUAAGCCGCAGGGAGAUACACCCAACCGGGAGAUGAAGAAACAGCAACCCAGAGAAGAGGAGUAACCCACACAGGAUCAUUCCACAGAGGCACAAGGACAAGAACCCGGCUCUGGACCCUCCUCGGCAGGAUUCCAUCCAGGAUAACACAUUACAUCUAGUUGUCAUGUUUCCAUAGGCUCCUUUGAGCUGUGACAGGUUUUCACAUUUUGCUCGCUUCUGAUGACCUUGAGAGUUUUAAAGAGUACUGAUCAGGUGUGCAACACAGUGAUUCAACGCACUCACCAGUGCUCAGCACGG